rnacentral:rRNA from 1 species
GACGAACGCUGGCGGCGUGCUUAACACAUGCAAGUCGAACGGAAAGGCCCUUCGGGUACUCGAGUGGCGAACGGGUGAGUAACACGUGGGUGAUCUGCCCUGCACUUCGGGAUAAGCCUGGGAAACUGGGUCUAAUACCGGAUAUGACCGCAUGAUGCAUGUUGUGUGGUGGAAAGCUUUUGCGGUGUGGGAUGGGCCCGCGGCCUAUCAGCUUGUUGGUGGGGUCAAGGCCUACCAAGGCGACGACGGGUAGCCGGCCUGAGAGGGUGACCGGCCACACUGGGACUGAGAUACGGCCCAGACUCCUACGGGAGGCAGCAGUGGGGAAUAUUGCACAAUGGGCGCAAGCCUGAUGCAGCGACGCCGCGUGAGGGACGACGGCCUCGG